UACGUAAGGACCGAGCGUUGUCCGGAAUCAUUGGGCGUAAAGGGUACGUAGGUGGUUAGAAAAGUUAGAAGUGAAAUCCUAUAGCUCAACUAUAGUAAGCUUUUAAAACUGCUCAUCUUGAGGUAUGGAAGGGAAAGUGGAAUUCCUAGUGUAGCGGUGAAAUGCGCAGAUAUUAGGAGGAAUACCGGUGGCGAAGGCGACUUUCUGGCCUGUAACUGACGCUGAUGUGCGAAAGCGUGGGGAUCAAACAGG
rnacentral:rRNA from 1 species